rnacentral:misc_RNA from 1 species
GAAAUGCGAUAAGUAGUGUGAAUUGCAGAAUUCAGUGAAUCAUCGAAUCUUUGAACGCACAUUGCGCCCUUUGGUAUUCCUUAGGGCAUGCCUGUUCGAGCGUCAUCUAAACCUUCAAGCCCUGCUUGGUGUUGGGUGCCUGUCCCGCCUCCGCGCGCGGACUCACCUCAAAUCCAUUGGCGGCCCCCGCGUCGGCCACGAGCGCAGCAGAAACGCGAACUCGUGAGCCCGUCUGGGCGGCUCCCAGAAGCUACACCCACCCAGUUUGACCUCGGAUCAGGUAGGGAUACCCGCUGAACUUAAGC